rnacentral:rRNA from 1 species
UACGUAGGGUGCAAGUGUUAAUCGGAAUUACUGGGCGUAAAGCGUGCACAGGCGGUUUUAUAAGACAGAUGUGAAAUCCCCGGGCUCAACCUGGGAACUGCAUUUGUGACUGUAGAGCUGGAGUGCGGCAGAGGGGGAUGGAAUUCCGCGUGUAGCAGUGAAAUGCGUAGAUAUGCGGAGGAACACCGAUGGCGAAGGCAAUCCCCUGGGCCUGCACUGACGCUCAUGCACGAAAGCGUGGGGAGCAAACAGG